CUUGGCAGUCAGAGGCGAUGAAAGACGUGAUAGCCUGCGAAAAGCUCCGGGGAGGCGGCAAAUAUCCUUUGAUCCGGAGAUGUCUGAAUGGGGGAACCCACCUACUUUAAGGUAGGUAUUGCAACAUGAAUACAUAGUGUUGCAAGGCGAACGAGGGGAAGUGAAACAUCUCAGUACCCUUAGGAAAAGAAAUCAAUUGAGAUUCCCUCAGUAGCGGCGAGCGAACGGGGAUCAGCCCAUUAAGUUAUGUGUGUUUUAGUGGAACGCUCUGGGAAGUGCGAACGUAGAGGGUGAUAUUCCCGUACACGAAAGGGCACACAUAAUGAUGACGAGUAGGGCGAGGCACGUGAAACCUUGUCUGAAUAUGGGGGGACCAUCCUCCAAGGCUAAAUACUCCUGACUGACCGAUAGUGAACCAGUACCGUGAGGGAAAGGCGAAAAGAACCCCUGUGAGGGGAGUGAAAUAGAUCCUGAAACCGCAUGCAUACAAGCAGUGGGAGCACCUUCGUGGUGUGACUGCGUACCUUUUGUAUAAUGGGUCAGCGACUUAUAUUCAGUAGCGAGGUUAACCGUAUAGGGGAGCCGUAGAGAAAUCGAGUCUUAAUAGGGCGUUUAGUUGCUGGGUAUAGACCCGAAACCAGGCGAUCUAUCCAUGAGCAGGUUGAAGGUUGGGUAACACUAACUGGAGGACCGAACCCACUGUCGUUGAAAAGCCAGGGGAUGACUUGUGGAUAGGGGUGAAAGGCUAAUCAAGCCUGGUGAUAGCUGGUUCUCCCCGAAAGCUAUUUAGGUAGCGCCUCGGACGAAUACCAUAGGGGGUAGAGCACUGUUUCGGCUAGGGGGUCAUCCCGACUUACCAAACCGAUGCAAACUCCGAAUACCUAUGAGUACUAUCCGGGAGACAGACUGCGGGUGCUAACGUCCGUAGUCAAGAGGAAAACAAUCCAGACCGCCAGCUAAGGCCCCAAAAUCAUAGUUAAGUGGGAAACGAUGUGGGAAGGCAUAGACAGCUAGGAGGUUGGCUUAGAAGCAGCCACCCUUUAAAGAAAGCGUAAUAGCUCACUAGUCGAGUCGGCCUGCGCGGAAGAUGUAACGGGGCUAAAACUAUGUGCCGAAGCUGCGGAUGUAUACUUUGUAUACGUGGUAGGGGAGCGUUCUGUAAGCCGAUGAAGGUGUGUUGAGAAGCAUGCUGGAGGUAUCAGAAGUGCGAAUGCUGACGUGAGUAACGACAAAACGGGUGAAAAACCCGUUCGCCGAAAGACCAAGGGUUCCAGUCCAACGUUAAUCGGGGCUGGGUGAGUCGACCCCUAAGGCGAGGCCGAAAGGCGUAGUCGAUGGGAAAAUGGUUAAUAUUCCAUUACUUCUGUGUAAUGCGAUGAGAGGACGGAGAAGGCUAAAUCAGCCUGGCGUUGGUUGUCCAGGUGAAAGGAUGUAGGCAUGUAUCUUAGGCAAAUCCGGGGUACUCUAUGCUGAGAUCUGAUAGCAAGCUGUACUUGUACAGCGAAGUGGUUGAUGCCAUGCUUCCAGGAAAAGUCUCUAAGCUUCAGUUACACAGGAAUCGUACCCGAAACCGACACAGGUGGUCAGGUCGAGUAGACCAAGGCGCUUGAGAGAACUCUGCUGAAGGAACUAGGCAAAAUGGUACCGUAACUUCGGGAGAAGGUACGCUGUUGUUGGUGAUGGAACUCGCUUCCUGAGCUGACGACAGCCGCAGAAACCAGGCCGCUGCAACUGUUUAUUAAAAACAUAGCACUCUGCAAACACGAAAGUGGACGUAUAGGGUGUGAUGCCUGCCCGGUGCUGGAAGGUUAAUUGAUGGGGUUAGCGUAAGCGAAGCUCUUGAUCGAAGCCCCAGUAAACGGCGGCCGUAACUAUAACGGUCCUAAGGUAGCGAAAUUCCUUGUCGGGUAAGUUCCGACCUGCACGAAUGGCAUAAUGAUGGCGGCGCUGUCUCCAGCAGAGGCUCAGUGAAAUCGAAAUCGCUGUGAAGAUGCAGUGUACCCGCGGCUAGACGGAAAGACCCCGUGAACCUUUACUGCAGCUUGACACUGAACUUUGACCUUACUUGUGUAGGAUAGGUGGGAGGCUUUGAAGCUGGAACGCUAGUUCCAGUGGAGCCGUCCUUGAAAUACCACCCUGGUAAUGUUGAGGUUCUAACUCUGUCCCGUGAUCCGGGACGAGGACCGUGUCUGGUGGGUAGUUUGACUGGGGCGGUCUCCUCCUAAAGAGUAACGGAGGAGUACGAAGGUGCGCUCAGCGUGGUCGGAAAUCACGCGUAGAGUAUAAAGGCAAAAGCGCGCUUAACUGCGAGACCCACAAGUCGAGCAGGUACGAAAGUAGGUCUUAGUGAUCCGGUGGUUCUGUAUGGAAGGGCCAUCGCUCAACGGAUAAAAGGUACUCUGGGGAUAACAGGCUGAUACCGCCCAAGAGUUCAUAUCGACGGCGGUGUUUGGCACCUCGAUGUCGGCUCAUCUCAUCCUGGGGCUGAAGCAGGUCCCAAGGGUAUGGCUGUUCGCCAUUUAAAGAGGUACGCGAGCUGGGUUUAGAACGUCGUGAGACAGUUCGGUCCCUAUCUACCGUGGGCGCUGGAAAUUUGAGAGGAUCUGCUCCUAGUACGAGAGGACCAGAGUGGACGAACCUCUGGUGUACCGGUUGUGACGCCAGUCGCAUCGCCGGGUAGCUAUGUUCGGAAGGGAUAACCGCUGAAAGCAUCUAAGCGGGAAGCCUACCUCAAGAUAAGAUUUCCCUAGGACUUUAUGUCCUCUAAAGAGCCGUUCGAGACUAGGACGUUGAUAGGUUGGAUGUGGAAGCAUAGUGAUAUGUGAAGCUGACCAAUACUAAUUGCUCGUGAGGCUUGACUAUACAACACCCAAGCAGUUG
rnacentral:rRNA from 1 species